rnacentral:miRNA from 1 species
UACAGCAACAAGCACUACAUUUCC